UCGGGAAUUUUGGGCAAUGGGCGAAAGCCUGACCCAGCAACGCCGCGUGAAGGAUGAAGUAUUUCGGUAUGUAAACUUCGAAAGAAUAGGAAGAAUAAAUGACGGUACUAUUUAUAAGGUCCGGCUAACUACGUGCCAGCAGCCGCGGUAAUACGUAGGGACCAAGCGUUGUUCGGAUUUACUGGGUGUAAAGGGCGUGUAGGUGGGUCUCUAAGUCGGUGGUGAAAGCCCGCAGCUCAACUGCGGAAUUGCCAUUGAUACUGGAGGUCUUGAGUACGGCAGAGGGAAAUAGAAUUCAUGGUGUAGCGGUGAAAUGUGUAGAUAUCAUGAAGAAUACCGGUAGCGAAGGCGGUUUCCUGGUCCGUAACUGACGCUGAGACGCGAAAGCGUGGGGAGCAAACAGGAUUAGAUACCCCCGUAGUCCCUGAGCGGGCUGGCAAGGCG
rnacentral:rRNA from 1 species